rnacentral:rRNA from 1 species
UACAGAGGGUGCGAGCGUUAAUCGGAAUUACUGGGCGUAAAGCGUGCGUAGACGGUUAUUUAAGUCGGAUGUGAAAGCCCCGGGCUCAACCUGGGAAUUGCAUUCGAGACUGAAUAGCUAGGGUGCGGUAGAGGGAAGCGGAAUUUCCGGUGUAGCGGUGAAAUGCGUAGAUAUCGGAAGAACAUCAGUGGCGAAAGCGGCUUCCUGGACCAGCACCGACGUUCAGGCACGAAAGCGUGGGAGCAAACAGG